UAGGGAAUCUUCCGCAAUGGACGCAAGUCUGACGGAGCAACGCCGCGUGAGUGAAGAAGGAUUUCGGUUCGUAAAACUCUGUUGUUAGAGAAGAACAGCGCAUAGAGUAACUGUUAUGCGUGUGACGGUAUCUAACCAGAAAGCCACGGCUAACUACGUGCCAGCAGCCGCGGUAAUACGUAGGUGGCAAGCGUUGUCCGGAUUUAUUGGGCGUAAAGCGAGCGCAGGCGGUCAAUUAAGUCUGAUGUGAAAGCCCCCGGCUCAACCGGGGAGGGUCAUUGGAAACUGGUUGACUCGAGUGCAGAAGAGGAGAGUGGAAUUCCAUGUGUAGCGGUGAAAUGCGUAGAUAUAUGGAGGAACACCAGUGGCGAAGGCGACUCUCUGGUCUGUAACUGACGCUGAGGCUCGAAAGCGUGGGUAGCAAACAGG
rnacentral:rRNA from 1 species